GAAUAUCAGUUUUUCAAAAGUCAAUAAAACCACACAUUUUCCUAACCAAAAGACAGUUAUUGUAUAUUAUCACAUUGGUUGCAAUGAAUAACAUUGAUUUCCCAGUAAGAUAAAAAUCGAUAAUUUCACGAUUCUAAGGGGCCACAAUUGUUUUAUUAUAGCAAACUAACAGUGGAAGGGCCUUUUGAACACUUAUCUUGUGUUUUACAUAACAAACACAAGCUGAUGUUUGAAAAUAGCUCAAGAAAAUACAUUUGUCAUGUUUGUGUUCAAUAAUUUCUCAGAUGUACAACAAAGAAUUUAUUCACACAAUAGCUGACCAAUAAUUAUACUAUAGCUGACCAAUCAGCUGCUCUUUGUGCUGAAAAGGGUACAUGCAGAAUCAAUGGAGAUGAAGUGAAAAAUUGUUUGGAUGAAUUGCUACCUUCAGUUGUAAUGUUAUCAAAUCUCAAUAAUCGGGCAGCAGCCAAACCAUAGGAGGGCUGGUUGACAGUAGAAAGUAUAUUAAGAAUACUUGAAGACAAAAAAACUUUCAAGAAAAACUGUUCUCCAACCAAAGGUAUAUAGAAAGUGAAGGAAAUAAUAGGAAAUGGAAAAGGGACGUACGUACCAGAUCUUGAAGACAACAUUUGUAAUGAUGAGGAUGACACUAUUACUUUAAUUCCUGAUGUAUUAAUGGAAACCAUGCAAAGCUUGAGAGGAGAAAUCGUUGAUUUCAUUAAAAUGUAUGACCUUAAAAAAGUUCUGCCUCGAGUAGGAAAUCCUAUAAAUAUGGUGUUCAAAUACCAUGAUGGAACUAGAAGUUUGAGCGAUGAUAAAAGAGACAGUAUUACACAGUAUUUAUGUACUUUCCAAGAAGUUCGAUUAUUGUCUUAUAUAGAUUUUGUCAGUCUCAUCCACAACCUCAUUGAGUUUAUUAUUAAAAGAAAAACAUAAAAUGAUCUUCAUCAGAACAAUGGAAGCCUUAGUGAUUUAAAGAUGCCAACAAAAUUAAAACGAAAAGGGAGGCCAAAAGGAAGCCAACAGACCGUAAUUGGUUUACCAAAAAGAGAAAAGAACAAACUUGUUCCUUUCUUAAGAGAACAGUUAAUGAAAAAG